AGUGGCGCACGGGUGCGUAACGCGUGGGAACCUGCCUUUAGGUUCGGAAUAACAGUUAGAAAUGACUGCUAAUACCGGAUAAUGUCUUCGGACCAAAGAUUUAUUGCCUUUAGAUGGGCCCGCGUUGGAUUAGAUAGUUGGUGGGGUAAUGGCCUACCAAGUCGACGAUCCAUAGCUGGUCUGAGAGGAUGAUCAGCCACACUGGGACUGAGACACGGCCCAGACUCCUACGGGAGGCAGCAGUGGGGAAUAUUGGACAAUGGGCGAAAGCCUGAUCCAGCAAUGCCGCGUGAGUGAUGAAGGCCUUAGGGUUGUAAAGCUCUUUUACCAGGGAUGAUAAUGACAGUACCUGGAGAAUAAGCUCCGGCUA
rnacentral:rRNA from 2 species